rnacentral:tRNA from 1 species
CAAAAUAAAGCAUAAAUUGAUGCCUCCCUUUUACACUAGGAAUAUAAUGUUAAUCAUUUAUUUUGU